rnacentral:rRNA from 1 species
UCAAGAUUACGUGAAACCGUUCAGGGGUAAACGGGAGAAAAUCCUGGAAUUCGAAAAGGGAGUCUUGGAUUUCAAUGCCUACCGUGUCCCACCGGGAACGCCCUCUCCCAGAUGGCGCCCGGCCGCCCCGCAGCGAUUCAUUUCGUUCGCGGUGUCGAUACCGGCGAUCACUCGGUGAGGUGUCGUUGACCUGGUACCGGAGGAGUGCACUUCCCCCCUAGUAGAAACGUCGCGACCCGUUGGGUGCCGGUCUAAGGCCCGGGGUGGCAGCCCGUGUGUCCUGUGGGGGUUCUCACAGGCGCGCGGACCCCUGGUGACCCGGCCGGCUGCCCGACGGUAUGACCAGAGGAGUCGAUCCGCUG